ACUUUAGUCAUUUCUAAUUUCUCUCGACCUUUUCGGUCAACUCUUAAAUUGGUUAGGUAGAGUUCGAUUCCAUGAGCGCGUAGGAGUAAACAGAUCUUAUUUCCGAGCCCGAACGGAGAAAUUAGAGUCGUUUAAAGUUGAUGGCAUUUUGGUAAUAUUACCAAAUUGCUAUAAUUUAAGUGGGAGGGAAACCUCCAGGAAAAGGGAGAGAGUUUUUCGGAAAAAGGGGGGGAAGAGCUGCCUAACCCGUUUUUAGGGGAAAUUGAUCAAUAAACCCACCAAACUUGACCCGAUUGUAUCUUUUUCAUCCGAGCUCCGUUUUGGAUGAUCUUGGUGUCCAUGGAAAGCUCUUGACGAGCCCUAUAUUUCUGUGAUUUUAGAUUUCCCCAUUUCUUUUCCAUCUUUGCAGCUCAAGGUCGCAAAGUCCACGACUGUUCCGGCGGUUUUAUCAUUUUUUCCGGCGAUUCCAGCAACGAUUUCCUUUGAGUGAGGUGGAUUGGAACUGAGUUCUGUUUGGAUUUCGUUGAGUGAUGGUCCGGAAUCCCCUUUGGAGCCUUGGUUCGGUGGGUGGUCCAAAAUCCCCUUUUCCAAAAAUGUAGUCUUCAACUGAAUUGUGUUGCUCUAGCCUUGCACUUCGACUUGUGGUAUGUGUUAUUGAUUGUUGUGAUUAUGGAAUGACAUUGGAUAUGAGUGGAGUUAUCAUGAGUAUUUUAGUUGAUUAAUAUUUCUAAAGAAUAAUAUGUACUUUGUUGAUUCUUAAAUAUGUUACACGCUAUGAAACGCGAAUUUAUGUGGGAACGUGAUGAUUUAUUUGAUGGAUGAAGUGGAAAUGUUAAUCGUCAUGUGGGAUUGUUAUGUUGGAUAUCUUUGUUAUUGUUAUAAUUAGACUUGUUGAUAAACGUGGCUCGAGAAUGGUAUUGUACAUCGUUGGUUCUUUGAAAUGAUAUAUGUUGUGAAUUGCGGUA